rnacentral:rRNA from 1 species
AUUGAACGCUGGCGGAAUGCUUUACACAUGCAAGUCGAACGGCAGCACGGGGGCAACCCUGGUGGCGAGUGGCGAACGGGUGAGUAAUACAUCGGAACGUGCCCAAUCGUGGGGGAUAACGUAGCGAAAGCUACGCUAAUACCGCAUACGAUCUACGGAUGAAAGCGGGGGAUCGCAAGACCUCGCGCGAAUGGAGCGGCCGAUGGCAGAUUAGGUAGUUGGUGGGGUAAAGGCUCACCAAGCCGACGAUCUGUAGCUGGUUCUGAGAGGACGACCAGCCACACUGGAACUGAGACACGGUCCAGACUCCUACGGGAGGCAGCAGUGGGGAAUUUUGGACAAUGGGCGCAAGCCUGAUCCAGCCAUUCCGCGUGAGUGAAGAA